GACGAACGCUGGCGGCGUGCUUAACACAUGCAAGUCGAACGAUGAAGCCGGAGCUUGCUCUGGUGAAUUAGUGGCGAACGGGUGAGUAACACGUGACUAACCUGCCCCUUUCUCUGGGAUAACGCUCCGAAAGGAGUGCUAAUACCGGAUACGAACUCUGAACAGAUGUUCGGAGUUGGAAAGUUCUUCGGAAAGGGAUGGAGUCGCGGCCAAUCAGCUUGUUGGUGAGGUAAUGGCUCACCAAGGCGACGACGGGUAGCCGGCCUGAGAGGGCGACCGGCCACACUGGGACUGAGACACGGCCCAGACUCCUACGGGAGGCGGCAGUGGGGAAUAUUGCACAAUGGGCGAAAGCCUGAUGCAGCGAUGCCGCGUGAGGGAUGAAGGUCUUCGGAUUGUAAACCUCUUUCAGUAGGGACGAAGCGAAAGUGACGGUACCUAAAGAAGAAGCACCGGCUAACUACGUGCCAGCCGCCGCCGUAA
rnacentral:rRNA from 1 species